rnacentral:rRNA from 1 species
CGUAGGGCGCAAGCGUUGUCCGGAAUUAUUGGGCGUAAAGAGCUCGUAGGCGGUCUGUCGCGUCUGCCGUGAAAACCCGAGGCUUAACCUCGGGCCUGCGGUGGAUACGGGCAGACUAGAGGUAGGUAGGGGAGAAUGGAAUUCCCGGUGUAGCGGUGAAAUGCGCAGAUAUCGGGAGGAACACCGGUGGCGAAGGCGGUUCUCUGGGCCUUACCUGACGCUGAGGAGCGAAAGCGUGGGGGGCGAACAGGAUUAGAUACCCUGGUAGUCCACGCCGUAAACGUUGGGCGCUAGGUGUGGGGUCCUUCCACGGAUUCCGUGCCGUAGCUAACGCACUAAGCGCCCCGCCUGGGGAGUACGGCCGCAAGGCUA